rnacentral:lncRNA from 1 species
AUGACAAGCUGUCUGGGGUCUGAGUCCCCUGCUUGGUUGCAUGCACAAAUCUGGACCCAGAAUUACUGGGCUGGAAUGAUGGCUGUACAGUUGUCAGAACCUGGCUGGCCCACGUGGAGUUGGGCUUCUAGAAAGGCGGCAUUCUGGUUGCGAAUGUACUUUGUCAUCCUGGUGCUUUUGGGGAGGCAGGCUGUGCUCACGCCUGUGCUCUCUCUCUCUAGAGAUCUCCUCGUAUUUUUUUCCCUCCCACCUGAGGCUCUUCCUCCUCACCAGACACCUGUUCCAAGGAAGCUCCUGCAACAAGGGUGUGGGCUUGUGUCGUGAAGGUUGAGUAUCCAGAGUGACAGUGAAGAAUCCAUACUCCCACCCAAGAGUGGAUUUCAGUGUGCCUGAGAGGAAGAAGAGUAAGACAUCCUGCUGGCAUGUGCCCCAGCUCAGCCCCCCUGGGGCUGCCCUGGCCUUGGACACCCCCCAGCUGGAUUUGGUUCCAGAUCUGCUUCUCAACCCAAGGAGAUGCCCUACAGACGGAGUCAUGACUCUCUCCAAGUCUCCCAGUGCACACCCCACCCUAGACCACCCACUACCUGAAAUCUGUCAGAGGCCCCACAUUUUCAAUCUUGUGAGGAGGAUUUACAACAAUCA